ACAACGGCAACCGGUAGACCAAGAGAGUACCACCUCAAAGGUUUUCCCUAUGCACUUCAGAUUUGGGCGUAUGAGGUGUUUCCAGCGUUGGCUGCACUACAUUUGGUGGUGCACGAAGAAAAUGCGCACAUCCCUCGUUUACUACAUUGGAGGAGCAAUAGUUCGCCGCGUUUUUAUGAGCUAAUGAGCCAAGUAUUCGAGAACCGUGAGGUUGAUGUGCAGCUUCUCCGGCCAUCUGUGAUGGACAAGCAGCAGCCGUAUUGGACUUGGGGUGACAGUGCUGACGACAGUGAAGAACUUGUUGACUUGUUGGGCGAUGACGCUGAACAACAAACCGGCACUUCUGCCUCUGUAGAAGAAAAAG